UACGGAAGGGGCAAGCGUUGUUCGGAAUCAUUGGGCGUAAAGGGCGCGUAGGUGGUCUUGUGUGUCUACCGUGAAAGCACACGGCUUAACCGUGUAAAGUCGGUAGAAACUGCGAGACUUGAGGUUGGGAGGGGCUGGUGGAAUUCCCUGUGUAGCGGUGAAAUGCGUAGAGAUGGGGGAGAACACUUGUGGCGAAGGCGGCCAGCUGGACCAAAUCUGACACUGAGGCGCGACAGCGUGGGGAGCAAACAGGG
rnacentral:rRNA from 1 species